GCAACUCAAAAGAAAAAGUGUGAGAAAGAAAUAGGCAAGCCUAACGAGAGAAAUGAGAGCUUUCCACAAAGGCACGGGGAGUUACCAAAGGUGGAGGGAAAAGGAGAGAGAGCACAUGGAAGAGACUGACUGUAAGCAGAAUACCAAAUGAAGAGCCAAGAAAGAAUCAACAAUGAGAGAUCCCAUUGCCUUCUUUUUGGACCUUAAUCAAGCACCUAUUUUGGGACAAGCACCACUGAGAAUACAAUGGCAGAAGACCAUCUUACCCUCAAGAAACAUUGCACUCACAGAGAAAAAAUAAGACAAAGUGCAGACUCUGUCUAUGGCAAGAAAUAUAAAGAAAACUAUGUUUCAUGUGAGUUCAGAACAGAGAGAAAUCACUUCAUCAUCUCAUAAUGUUACUGGUGAAGAGAUCGAAGUUACGCCGAGUUACUGGCUGCGAAUCCCUAUACAUCUGCAGCAUCUUGAAUUCUUGCCUCCUCAGAAGAAAGAAUUUGACUGAGGGGCAUAAAGCAGAAAAAGAGACUGAGAUGAGUUCCAGAGCAGUAGUAGAAGUUUGUUUAAAAGGCCUUAGAACAGAAAAGAAAGGAAAGUUCACUUGGAAGAGAUCCAAGAGGGUUCAUGAAGGUUAAAGAGAGAGAAGUUCAAGUGCCCCAUUGAACCAUGAUCCUAGGACUUUCAUAGGUGCACCUCUUUCCCAUGAUUCUUCCAUUAGGGUGCGCUUUCCUCUUGCACAGUGUUCUCCUUAUCCUUGGGAAUGGAGCACCUGCACUAUGUUUAGGGAGUUAUAUGCUUGCCAACCUGAGGCUUUCUUCCCUUUUUCCAAAGGGGCGUACCCAGAAGAUCAUACGUCACCAUUUUUUUCUCUUAAUGUUCAUGCCUAGAAAGUUGCUUCUUUCUGGGGUGUACAUUCAAUUAAUAUUUUGGUGUUAAUAGGUGUGGACCAUCAGGAAAUGACCUCUCCAUGGCACAGGCUGCCAAUUUAUCCCCUCUAGAGAGGCAAUGAUAUAACCGGCAAACCAUCACCUGACAUUUCUAGUGGGUGGGGGAAAGAGCCCUCUCUUGCCCUGCUCAUGCCUGACUACCUGUAAUAGUAAAAUACUUACAGUGCCCAACACACACACACACACACACACACACACACACACACACACACACACACAUCUCCCUCAUGUAGACAGGGACAGUGUUUUGUCCCCACUCUUUUUGUUGUUAUUGAGGCAGAGAAGCUAUAUCAAUCAUCUCAGAUUAUAAAACUAAAAAGUGAUGAAAUAGGAUUAAAAACCUGUUACCCAAAUUAUAAUUUAUUAUUUCACCUUCUCCCUCAAAAAAGACAAAAUGCAAAAAUAAAAAAAAAAGAACACAAUAAACAAACAAAUGCUAAUGUUUAAAUCUCUUACAACAUAGCAAUAAAGAAAUCAUGCUGGCCCACAUCCAAUUACAAAUUCAAAGCUGACUGAGUUCAAUAUGUGAAUUAUGUAUCAAACAACUCUAUUAAUGCAAAGAUAAUUUAAACCUUAAAAUUAAAUAUUAAUUUCCAUGAAGCAUUCCUCCUUCUUUCUUUUCUAGGUUCUAAAUCAUCCUACAUUUUUGCCAGAGGAGCAAUUAGAUAUUUUACAAAUAUAUCAAUAUUUUUCUACACUGAGAAUGACAUGACCAAGUGCCUGGUGCCGCCUCAUGAGUCCAGCUCUGGGAAGAAGGGAGAUUCCUUGCUUGGCUUUUUCAAAUUGACAUGGCAUUUCCUUUGUUCGAUAAUAUAAGCCUUUAAAAUAAAUAACAAAUAAUGUGCAAAAGAAAAAUUAACUACAUAAUAUAUCGUAAACAUAAAUUAUGUACAGUGAAGUGGAACAUGACUCUAUUUGAGCAUAAGGGAAGAUAAAUAUAGCUCUACCAUAUACAUUCACAUUCCGUGUACCUUGAACUCUUUUUUAAAAAUUUUAGUAACAUUUUCUAUCACUGGAAAUGAUAAUGAUCUUGCCUCCU
rnacentral:lncRNA from 1 species